GGCAGCAAUAGCAGCAGGAGCUGUGUUGUCGAGCCAAAACUCUGGGAGAGGCCGCUCUGGAAUGCUGGGGCAUGUGAACACAGAUGGAAUUAACUCCAUUUGACUGGGACCCAGCCUAGACAGUCAUGUGAUGCUCCGGAACCGCCUCUCCCUUCCUUACUAGUCCCGGAUCUGGUCCCCUCUGCCUUGGGCCCCCUCCGCCUUGGGCAGCCAAAGCACCCGUAUGAGGACAACAUGGGACUUGUCUGCACAGAUCCUGGUCACACCACUGAAAUCCUCCUCGCCCCUCCCUUGCCCUCGCCCCUCCUCCCUCCGUGCUCUGGAGGGGAAAGACCGGUGCUAGACUCCCGGCUAGGUGGCAACCGACCAAAUCCGGGUCCUGUGAUCUGCAUAAUAGAACCCUGGACGGGACAGGGAUGUGGGUGGUGGCUGGGGAUGGAGCUGGGGAGGAGCGGGGGAGAGACGAAGGGAAGGAGGCUGGAGGGGAGGGAAGGAGGCCGAGAAAAUUGGUUACCCAAAGUCAAAAAUAGCCCCAGUGACUCAGAAAUGGAGCAGUUUGGAAUCACAAUGAUUUCUGGGGAGAGGGCAAGGAGCGGCUGGACUUUCCUCUUUUCUCCAGGCUAAGUAUCCCCAGUUCCUUCAACCAAUUCCCAAGUGGCACAAUUUCACUCCUACUGUCCUACUCUCCAAAAUGCCAUGCAUAUGGUGUGCUUGUUGUUGUUGGUUGACUCUCGAACCGAGGAUGACGAUUGUCUUUGUGCGUUUUUAUACACAAAGACACCUGUGCAUGAAGAUUUAAGUGGAAAAGUCGAUGCACAGAGACAGUCCCACUCUCUUGGAGUUGGAAGCCUGGGUCCAUUGGCAUGAAAAGUCGUUACACCUGGAGACUUCCUCAGCUGCAUUGGAUGGCAGUGUUGUCUUUUGUGCUCCAACAC
rnacentral:lncRNA from 1 species